rnacentral:rRNA from 1 species
CAGCAGCCACGGUAAUACAGAGGGUGCAAGCGUUAAUCGGAAUUACUGGGCGUAAAGCGCGCGUAGGUGGUUUGUUAAGUUGGAUGUGAAAGCCCCGGGCUCAACCUGGGAACUGAAUCCAAAACUGGCAAGCUAGAGUACGGUAGAGGGUGGUGGAAUUUCCUGUGUAGCGGUGAAAUGCGUAGAUAUAGGAAGGAACACCAGUGGCGAAGGCGACCACCUGGACUGAUACUGACACUGAGGUGCGAAAGCGUGGGGAGCAAACAGGAUUAGAUACCCGAGUAGUCCCUGUCUCUUAUAC